AAGGGAAGGAAAACUAGAGUACUUUAGCUCAAGAAAGCCGCUCAUCUCAAUUGCACCACAGAAUGAGACUUCACCAUCCCCCUGAGAGAAGUGCAUAUCGCCUGUGCUAAGAUUUGCUCCUUCUACAAACACUGGAAGGUAUAUAUCUUUGAUUCAUGAAAACACUAUUACAGUCGUUCUUUCAGUUUUGCUCCGAAUAAAGGGAUGCAACUUGCUAUAAGCUAUAAGCUAUAGGUAUGUGGUUCUUACAGUUGUAAAAUAUGUAUGUUCUUUCAGUAGUAUAUUAGCGUAUAUUAGUAUAUAUUCCAUCCGUGCCACAAUAGUAGUUCCACUUUGGUUUCUAGUUAACCCACAAUAUUGACCACCGUUUUUAAUCAUCAAAUCAGUAUAACUUCUUAAAAACAGAUAUAUAUUUAUUGUGACGGAUCCAAAGACAUUUAACAUAGUACCCUUCUUUAUAUAAAUUUGAAAAAAAUAUAUGCUCAAAGUUGAACAACUACUGUGUAGAACGGAAGGAAUACUAUUAAUGCAUGCUUGCGUAUGUGUUUGUAUAUUUGGCGUUUUGGGGUAAAGGGGAUACAAUAAGUUGAGUUGAUACAUUAGGGGUUUGGUCAAGUACAUAAUACUUCUUCUAUGCUUAAGAACAUAAAAGAAAAGAGCAGUGUGAACUGUAAAAGCAAAGGUUUUCCUAUGAACUGACUAAUGUUGGAUUAUCAGGAUAUUGAAAAGAGUUGAUCUUGCAUAAGUUUAGAGGAUAGUAACAAAGUUCUCAUAUGAAGAGUAAUAAUUCAUAGCAUAUUUAUUGAAUACAACAAAAGAAAAAUGAGGAGAGAAGAAGCAGCAUACAACAGAAAGAUCAGCAUGCUUGAUGUCCUCAGAAGAGGAGUCAUUUUUUAUACCACCUCCAGUAAAAUCUACCAUUUCUACCCUGAAAACCUCUCCAAUCUUCGCUUCUGCGACAUGUGGUAUGUCCGGGUGCCACCGGUUGUGAAGGGGAAGCUUCUGUUCCCAUGGCUGCUUCUUCAGAUCUACUGGAACUACAGUUCUUGCACCAUAUAAUAAAGCCAUUGAUUGAUUUAAUACACCUGAAUAAUUAUAAGAAAAUAAGCUAAAUGAUGGCCUAUUCAGUAUUCACUAUACAUGUUCUGGGUAAAUAUGCUUUUCCUGUGAAUUAUUUGGUCUCCCUGUCCAUAUCGAAUGAGUUUAGGUUUAUUUUUUCGUUGCGACUAGCUGAUUCUGGGUGACUUUGUAUGUUAUAUUGUUUUAGGAAUACUGGUUGAGGGUUGACUACUUGACUUAUAUAUUAGGAAAAUUGACAUGAAUAAUCCGAAAUUUCACCAGUAUUUUUAAAAUAAUCUCAACUCUGGAUUAUUUUAGAAUAAUCCCAACGUCAGGGGACAUUUUCUCAAAAUAAUCUGAAUUAUUAAUUUUCUAUGUAUCUUAGACCUAAAACGGAUUAGUGUAGGCAUGAAAAGUGAUAGUUUGGUUUAUUUUGAGAAGAUCCCGUCAAAAGUUAGGAUUAUUCUAGAAUAAUUCAAUGUUGAGAUUGUCCUUGUGCAUGGAGUGGAUGUGGCUGAAAAGCUAGGAGUAUUCAAGGGCAUGAAGUUGAUCAGUGAUCCAGUAGCCUCAGAGAAGUGAGGAGAUGCCUCAUAUAAAACUUCAUUCAAUGUUUUCUUGUUCAAUGUUUCUGUAUUCUUAAUUUGGAAGAACUUGAUGUAGUGGAUGUAUUGAAUGUAUUGUACAUUUUCAGAGAUUAGUAACCUCCGCUAAAUCGGGUGUACCAAGUACUAUAAAAGUUUCCCUUUCUGAAGGGAAUACCUGGUUUCUUGAUAGAGGGUACUAAGCUCUUUUGAUAAUUAAUGAAAUUCGAAUUAUCAAAAAAAAAAUUCAAUGUUGAGAUUAUUUUGAAAAAACUGGUGAAAGUUGGGAUUAUUCAUGUCAAUUUUUCCUAUAUAUUAUGGUUGGUAAACUUUUAUAUUUAUUGAAGAAUGACUUAACUA